rnacentral:tRNA from 1 species
GCCGGGCUAGCUCAGUCGGUUGAGCAUGAGACUCUCAAUCUCAGGGUUGUGGGUUCCAGCCCCGUG